rnacentral:rRNA from 1 species
UACAGAGGUCCCAAGCGUUGUUCGGAUUCACUGGGCGUAAAGGGUGCGUAGGUGGUCGGGUAAGUUUAAGGUGAAAGCUCCGGGCUCAACCCGGAAAUGGCCUUGAAUACUAUCCGGCUCGAGGGUUGGAAGGGGGACUGGAAUUCUCGGUGUAGCAGUGAAAUGCGUAGAUAUCGAGAGGAACACCAGUGGCGAAGGCGAGUCCCUGGACAACACCUGACACUGAGGCACGAAAGCCAGGGGAGCAAACGGG